AAGACCUCACCUAGACGAGAUCUUCUUAAGGAUAUUAUUGUCCGACUAGUCUUCGUCACGACAGUGACGUUCUCAAGAAAUAUCCGUGACUCUAGGAACCUACCAACUGUAGAGCCUACCCAUGGGGUUCCAUUAAUCAGAGAUACCUGUCAUUUACCCGUUAUUCUGAUCUAUCUGAAAACACUUUGAACCUUUGAUCCUGAACAUGUCACUACACUCAUACACAUAUCAUUGCAUUUUCAUUCAUCAUCAUACAUUUCAU
rnacentral:lncRNA from 1 species